AAGGGUAACACGUUCAGAUUACAAGUCUGAACGCUUCUUUUUCCACCGGAGCUUGCUCCACCGGAAAAAGAGGAGUGGCGAACGGGUGAGUAACACGUGGGUAACCUGCCCAUCAGAAGGGGAUAACACUUGGAAACAGGUGCUAAUACCGUAUAACAAUCGAAACCGCAUGGUUUUGAUUUGAAAGGCGCUUUCGGGUGUCGCUGAUGGAUGGACCCGCGGUGCAUUAGCUAGUUGGUGAGGUAACGGCUCACCAAGGCGACGAUGCAUAGCCGACCUGAGAGGGUGAUCGGCCACAUUGGGACUGAGACACGGCCCAAACUCCUACGGGAGGCAGCAGUAGGGAAUCUUCGGCAAUGGACGAAAGUCUGACCGAGCAACGCCGCGUGAGUGAAGAAGGUUUUCGGAUCGUAAAMYYYKGUUGUUAGAGAAGAACAAGGAUGAGAGUAACUGUUCAUCCCUUGACGGUAUCUAACCAGAAAGCCACGGCUAACUACGUGCCAGCAGCCGCGGUAAUACGUAGGUGGCAAGCGUUGUCCGGAUUUAUUGGGCGUAAAGCGAGCGCAGGCGGUUUCUUAAGUCUGAUGUGAAAGCCCCCGGCUCAACCGGGGAGGGUCAUUGGAAACUGGGAGACUUGAGUGCAGAAGAGGAGAGUGGAAUUCCAUGUGUAGCGGUGAAAUGCGUAGAUAUAUGGAGGAACACCAGUGGCGAAGGCGGCUCUCUGGUCUGUAACUGACGCUGAGGCUCGAAAGCGUGGGGAGCAAACAGGAUUAGAUACCCUGGUAGUCCACGCCGUAAACGAUGAGUGCUAAGUGUUGGAGGGUUUCCGCCCUUCAGUGCUGCAGCUAACGCAUUAAGCACUCCGCCUGGGGAGUACGACCGCAAGGUUGAAACUCAAAGGAAUUGACGGGGGCCCGCACAAGCGGUGGAGCAUGUGGUUUAAUUCGAAGCAACGCGAAGAACCUUACCAGGUCUUGACAUCCUUUGACCACUCUAGAGAUAGAGCUUCCCCUUCGGGGSCAAAGUGACAGGUGGUGCAUGGUUGUCGUCAGCUCGUGUCGUGAGAUKKUKGGKUWAGUCCCGCAACGAGCGCAACCCUUAUUGUUAGUUGCCAUCAUUUAGUUGGGCACUYYWRSMAGACUGCSGKKRMMAMMSSRGRRRRRKGKGGRKRWSRYKYMAWMWMWUCAUGCCCCUUUAUGACCUKGGSUACACACGUGCUACAAUGGGAAGUACAACGAGUCGCAAAGUCGCGAGGCUAAGCUAAUCUCUUAAAGCUUCUCUCAGUUCGGAUUGUAGGCUGCAACUCGCCUACAUGAAGCCGGAAUCGCUAGUAAUCGCGGAUCAGCACGCCGCGGUGAAUACGUUCCCGGGCCUUGUACACACCGCCCGUCACACCACGAGAGUUUGUAACACCCGAAGUCGGUGAGGUAACCUUUGGAGCCAGUCACCUAUAGAUGUAUUCCC
rnacentral:rRNA from 1 species